AAUAUUAUGCCAGAUUAAUUGGAUAACUUUGAUGAAGUUAAAUAUAGAAAUAAUUCUUAAUAUUU
rnacentral:tRNA from 1 species